rnacentral:rRNA from 1 species
GAUGAACGCUGGCGGCGUGCCUAAUAUAUGCAAGUCGAGCGAACAGACGAGAGUGCUUGCACUCUCUGACGUUAGCGGCGGACGGGUGAGUAACACGUGGGUAACCUACCUAUAAGACUGGGAUAACUUCGGGAAACCGGAGCUAAUACCGGAUAAUAUUUAGCUUCGCAUGAAGCAAUAGUGAAAGACGGUUCUGCUGUCACCUAUAGAUGGACCCGCGGUGUAUUAGCUAGUUGGUGAGGUAACGGCUCACCAAGGCAACGAUACAUAGCCGACCUGAGACGGUGAUCGGCCACACUGUGACUGAGACACGGCCCAGACUCCUACGGGAGGCAGCAGUAGGGAAUCUUCCGCAAUGGACGAAACUCUGCCGGAGCAAUGCCGCGUGAGUGAAGAAGGUUUUCGGAUCGUAAAACUCUGUUGUAAGGGAAGAACAAGUACGUUAGUAACUGAACGUACCUUGACGGUACCUUACCAGAAAGCCACGGCUAACUACGUG